rnacentral:rRNA from 1 species
CCUACGGGUGGCAGCAGUGGGGAAUAUUGGGCAAUGGGCGAAAGCCUGACCCAGCAACGCCGCGUGAAGGAAGAAGGCUUUCGGGUUGUAAACUUCUUUUGACAGGGAAGAGCAGAAGACGGUACCUGUCGAAUAAGCCACGGCUAACUACGUUCCAGCAGCCGCGGUAAUAAGUAGGUGGCAAGCGUUUUCCGGAUUUACUGGGUGUAAAGGGCGUGUAGCCGGGCUGACAAGUCAGAUGUGAAAUCCGGGGGCUCAACCCCCGAACUGCAUUUGAAACUGUUGGUCUUGAGUGUCGGAGAGGCAAGCGGAAUUCCGAGUGUAGCGGUGAAAUCCGUAGAUAUCUGGAGGAACAUCAGUGGCGAAGGCGACUAUCUGGAACAUAACUGACGCUGAGGAGCGAAAGCGUGGGUAGCAAACAGGAUUAGAUACCCUUGUAGUC